GGUUUGGCACCUCGAUGUCGGCUCGUCGCAUCCUGGGGCUGGAGUCGGUCCCAAGGGUUGGGCUGUUCGCCCAUUAAAGCGGUACGCGAGCUGGGUUCAGAACGUCGUGAGACAGUUCGGUCCCUAUCCGCUGCGCGCGUUGGAGAAUUGAGAAAGGCUGUCCUUAGUACGAGAGGACCGGGACGGACGAACCUCUGGUAUGUCAGUUGUACCGCCAGGUGCAUGGCUGAUUGGCUACGUUCGGGAGGGAUAACCGCUGAAGGCAUCUAAGCGGGAAGCCUGUUUCGAGAUGAGUUCUCCUGGCACUCUUUGUGGUGUGUGAGGCUCCUUAGAGAUGAUGAGGUUGAUAGGCCGGGUAUGGAAGCGUUGUGAGGCGUGGAGUUGACUGGUACUAAUAGGCUGAAGACUUAUUCACA
rnacentral:rRNA from 1 species